UACACUCCUACGGGAGGCAGCAGUAGGGAAUCUUCCACAAUGGGUGCAAACCUGAUGGAGCAAUGCCGCGUGAGUGAAGAAGGUCUUCGGAUCGUAAAGCUCUGUUGUUAGAGAAGAACACGUGCUAGGUAACUACUAGCGCCUUGACGGUAUCUAACCAGAAAGUCACGGCUAACUACGUGCCAGCAGCCGCGGUAAUACGUAGGUGACAAGCGUUGUCCGGAUUUAUUGGGCGUAAAGGGAGCGCAGGCGGUCUGUUUAGUCUAAUGUGAAAGCCCACGGCUUAACCGUGGAACGGCAUUGGAAACUGACAGACUUGAAUGUAGAAGAGGAAAAUGGAAUUCCAAGUGUAGCGGUGGAAUGCGUAGAUAUUUGGAGGAACACCAGUGGCGAAGGCGAUUUUCUGGUCUAACAUUGACGCUGAGGCUCGAAAGCGUGGGGAGCGAACAGGAUUAGAUACCCCUGUAGUCCCAUG
rnacentral:rRNA from 1 species